rnacentral:miRNA from 10 species
AAUACAGGAAGCCGAGUUAAAUUUAAAUGUCAGAUAAACAAUACUUUUUUUAGUAUAAACAUGUUCCAUGCAAUAUUUGGGACAAACUUAUACUAAAAAAUUGUUUUUAUCUGACACACAAAUUUAACUGAGCCUCCUGUAUUUU